rnacentral:rRNA from 1 species
AUGCCACCAACCACGCCGCAGCACGGCGGCGAUGACGGCGAGCGGUUCGCGGAGGUGGUGGUGGUCCGGCACGGGGAGACGUCGUGGAACGCCCCCCGCAUCGUUCAGGGACAAAUGAAUCCAGAACUAAAUGAGACCGGCAGGCAGCAAGCUGUUGUGGUGGCCCGUCGUCUGUCGGCAGAGGCCAAGCCGGCUGAUGUAUACUCCUCCGACCUCAAGCGUGCUGCCGAGACUGCACAAGCCAUAGCUAAAGCUUGUGAUGUAUCAAACUUAGUGUUGACUGAAGAACUAAGAGAGAGGCACAUGGGACAUCUCCAAGGUAUGAAGUGGGACGAUGCGUUUGUUCAAAACCCAGGGGCUUUCAAAGGUUUCAAUAUCUUUGAGCCUAAAGGGGGCUUGAAUUUCAACGACAGAGACCAAGAAAUCCCGGGGAUCGCUGACAGCCUGAACCAGCUAACCCAGCAGUGUGUCACCUACCUGAACAAAAUCGCCCAGCAACACAUCGGGGAGCGGGUGAUCGUGGUCUCUCACGGCGCGGCGAUAGUGGAGCUCUGCCGGCACACCGAUCCCCCCGGCAGCUCGGUUCACCGGAACUUCCCCAACACCUCGCUCAACGUCUUCCAUGUCUCGGGUGUCACCAGGCAGUGGGCCCUAGCGAGGUUCAGCGACGUCGGCCACCUCGAUGGAAAGGGCGCUCUCGAGGAUGCCUUCGACGGCAACGGGGUGUCUGCCUAA